rnacentral:rRNA from 1 species
GGGMUGCUAUACUGCAGUCGUACGCUGUGCUAUUCUCUGCUCACCGGAGCUUGCUCCACCGGAAAAAGAGGAGUGGCGAACGGGUGAGUAACACGUGGGUAACCUGCCCAUCAGAAGGGGAUAACACUUGGAAACAGGUGCUAAUACCGUAUAACAAUCGAAACCGCAUGGUUUUGAUUUGAAAGGCGCUUUCGGGUGUCGCUGAUGGAUGGACCCGCGGUGCAUUAGCUAGUUGGUGAGGUAACGGCUCACCAAGGCSACGAUGCAUAGCCGACCUGAGAGGGUGAUCGGCCACAUUGGGACUGAGACACGGCCCAAACUCCUACGGGAGGCAGCAGUAGGGAAUCUUCGGCAAUGGACGAAAGUCUGACCGAGCAACGCCGCGUGAGUGAAGAAGGUUUUCGGAUCGUAAAACUCUGUUGUUAGAGAAGAACAAGGAUGAGAGUAACUGUUCAUCCCUUGACGGUAUCUAACCAGAAAGCCACGGCUAACUACGUGCCAGCAGCCGCGGUAAUACGUAGGUGGCAAGCGUUGUCCGGAUUUAUUGGGCGUAAAGCGAGCGCAGGCGGUUUCUUAAGUCUGAUGUGAAAGCCCCCGGCUCAACCGGGGAGGGUCAUUGGAAACUGGGAGACUUGAGUGCAGAAGAGGAGAGUGGAAUUCCAUGUGUAGCGGUGAAAUGCGUAGAUAUAUGGAGGAACACCAGUGGCGAAGGCGGCUCUCUGGUCUGUAACUGACGCUGAGGCUCGAAAGCGUGGGGAGCAAACAGGAUUAGAUACCCUGGUAGUCCACGCCGUAAACGAUGAGUGCUAAGUGUUGGAGGGUUUCCGCCCUUCAGUGCUGCAGCUAACGCAUUAAGCACUCCGCCUGGGGAGUACGACCGCAAGGUUGAAACUCAAAGGAAUUUGACGGGGGCCCGCACAAGCGGUGGAGCAUGUGGUUUAAUUCGAAGCAACGCGAAGAACCUUACCAGGUCUUGACAUCCUUUGACCACUCUAGAGAUAGAGCUUCCCCUUCGGGGGCAAAGUGACAGGUGGUGCAUGGUUGUCGUCAGCUCGUGUCGUGAGAUGUUGGGUUAAGUCCCGCAACGAGCGCAACCCUUAUUGUUAGUUGCCAUCAUUYAGUUGGGCACUCUAGCAAGACUGCCGGUGACAAACCGGAGGAAGGUGGGGAUGACGUCAAAUCAUCAUGCCCCUUAUGACCUGGGCUACACACGUGCUACAAUGGGAAGUACAACGAGUYGCRAAGUCGCGAGGCUAAGCUAAUCUCUUAAAGCUUCUCUCAGUUCGGAUUGYAGGCUGCAACUCGCCURCAUGAAGCCGGAAUCGCUAGUAAUCGCGGAUCAGCACGCCGCGGUGAAUACGUUCCCGGGCCUUGUACACACCGCCCGUCACACCACGAGAGUUUGUAACACCCGAAGUCGG